rfam:Gossypium hirsutum cultivar TM-1 unplaced genomic scaffold scaffold178.1, whole genome shotgun sequence
AAACCAUGCAUCGGGCAUUUUCUAAUUAACUCCUUGAAUUGCUCCCAUGCUUCAUAUAAUGUUUCAUCCUCAGAUUGCCGAAAGAAAGUAAUAUUUCCUCAGUUU